rnacentral:rRNA from 1 species
UACGUAGGGCGCGAGCGUUGUCCGGAAUCAUUGGGCGUAAAGAGCUCGUAGGCGGCCUGUUGCGUCUGCUGUGAAAUCCCGGGGCUUAACCCCGGGCGUGCAGUGGAUACGGGCUGGCUGGAGGGAGGCAGGGGAGACUGGAAUUCCCGGUGUAGCGGUGAAAUGCGCAGAUAUCGGGAGGAACACCGGUGGCGAAGGCGGUUCUCUGGGCCUGAACUGACGCUCAUGCACGAAAGCGUGGGGAGCAAACAGG